AUUGCCACACGCAGCCUUCUCUCCCCUCCUCUCCCCAGAAACGCCGCCGCCGCAGCUGCCGUCUCCUCAUCUCGUUUCUUGCAGCCGCCGCCAGAUCUGGGGAGCCACCGGGAGGAGAACAACCGGCCAGACGCCACCCCCGUCGGCCUAACCCGCAUCUCCCUCGCGCCCAUCGUCCCCUCUUGGCGCUCCCGCCUCUCCUCUCCCCCAUUCUCCUGCCGCAUCCCAUCCCCUGCUCUGCCCUUGCUCCUCCGCCGUUCGAGUUGAGUCGUUGCUGCAGAGAGCGCCGCCUCACUCUCCCAGGCCUUCUCCCCAUCCGCGACGUCGGCACACGGUACGGGCAAGCUGUGGCGUGUCAUCGCCGUGCUGGGUUGGCCGACCGAUGCCGCGCGGAUCCGGUUGGACGAGGUCGUUGGCGACCUGCCGCGGGAGGGGGACAGCGGGAUCUGCGCCAGGAGUUCCAGGGCACGCGGCUGCCGCUCGUGCAGCAGAACCACGGCCUCGCCGACGCGUCCGGGGAGAACUGCGUUGGCCUGGUCUUGUAACGGGCAGGUGAAGUCAUUUUUAUGGGAUGCAAUAGUUCUUCGUCCACUUCCACGGCCCCAAAAACACAACAGCCCGCACCCGAGGCGCAGAGCAGCCAGAACCAGUGAUGAUCGUGAGAUCCUGCGGACGACGAUGGAGCUUCUUAAUCAGUUGGAUGGAUUUUAUGAGCUUAGCAAGGGGCGAUCGACGGCGGUGGCCGGUGAGAAGAGGCGGUCAUCGCAGGCGCUUGUCCGGCGGCGCCGCCGCUAGGAUGGCGCCCGUGCUACGGCUACCCAGAGAUCCUCGUCCGCGAUACGAUUUUUGGAAGGUUGAAGGUGGAAUCGAACUCCGAGCUCGAGGUUGCGCUGGUGCAGUGGUGGCUGCGAUCGGGCCCGAUCUAGGAAAAAUCUUCAUCAUUUUUGGUCUGCAUGGCGAUGAUCUGUUUCUUCAGGAUCCGCUCGUUGCCAGAGCCAGCUCGGGACGCCUCCUAGACGACGACACAAGCUUGAAGCGAGCGGAACACUGAAGGAGGAUCUUGGGGAUGAAGGAAGCGUCAGCGACGACCUCAGGCGAGAGGCAUGUAAUGCGGGUAAUACUAGAGCUUCCAGCCUCCUCAGGCUGGCGUGGGAACAUCAGUAAGGGCUUGGAGCCUGUCAAAGAGGAGGCAAAGAGGACACUGUUGAUGAAACAUGAGGCCGAGACAAAAACAAAUGCCUAUUGGCUCAGUUUGCUAACCCAUAUGCAGUCUAUAUGUGAGGCUUAUAAGUGCAUAUUCUAUGGGAAACUAGAACAAAAAUAAACCAACUCUCCAAGCCCUGGUUUCAUGGACACUCCGUGUGCAUUGUCCGUGUGCCACUUCUACUGUGGUGAACUAUACGUAGUUACUCUGACUAGAUUUUCUUGAUGCAAGUUUUCUAGACAAACUUUUGAAAGCCUGCUGACCCAUGACCAUCUCGAUGAUAGUUAUGAUCACGUAAUUCUGGGUUGAGAAGUUUGUUGAUAUAUCAAAAAGUUCCAGGGGUUGCCAUAUGAGUAGCUGAAGGAAAACAAAUAAAAUCUACUCCCUCCGUUCCAAAAUAUAAGUCUUUGUAAAGAUUCCACUAUGGACUACAUACGAAGUAAAAUGAGUGAAUUUACACUCUAAAAUGCAUCUACAUACAUCCGUAUGUGGUUCAUAGUGAAAUCUCUACAAAGACUUAUAUUUAGGACCGGAGGGAGUAUGUUCUAUGCUCUUGGUUAUACUCCACCUGGCUGCAAGUAUAAUUCUUUGGCUUGGCUGACAGUUGAGCAUGCACGUAGGGCAAUCAGUGUGUUUACUGAAUUAAGUAUAACUAAACCUUCUGCUUUUCUGCCCCCCACACCACCACCACCAAAGAAAACACAAUGAAUGCAUAUGAAGAUAAUACUGACAUGGCCAGGAAUCUUCCUCUGUAAUUUGGGCUCUAGGGCUUUUCUUGACCACGAAAUUUUUAACAACGGUUUGCUUUACAUGUAUUUGCUAAUGUAUGAUUAAAUCUGUAUAAGUUGUAUUUUUUAGUGAUAUUAUUAUUUGUUGGAUCCCAAUCCAUAUCUUAUCCUUCUUUAGUCUGUUUACUACUAUUUUCCAUACUUGUAUCAUUUACUCUACCGUUGUUUCUUCACUGGGCACACCCAUGCUGGUGCCGUCGCUCACGCUCCACCUGAACAGCGGCAACUAGGAGCUGCCGCGUGGGAACUACGUGUUCGAGGAGCAGGUCAUGUGCCUGGUGCUAGACGUGAUGGCAUGGGAUCAGACCAUCAUUACCAACUACCAGCAGCAGAACGCGCAAGUCUACGGCCUCGACAUGACGUGUUGCCCUUUGCGCCAGCGUAGGGCAACAAGCUUGCAGCGUUGCUAUAUUAAAGAGAUAGAACUUGUAGUACUGAUCACGUGAAAUGCGCCGAUGUGGUAGGCAACGAUCUUUUUUGAAUGAAAUGUACUCCCUCCGUUCCUAAAUAUAAGUCUUUGUAGAGAUUUCACUAUGGACUACAUACGGAGCAAAAUAAAUGAAUCUAGGUAUGGUAUCUGGUA